GAUGAACGCUGGCGGUAUGCUUAACACAUGCAAGUCGAACGGAGUGCUUCGGCACUUAGUGGCGGACGGGUGAGUAACGCGUGAGAAUCUGGCUUCGGGUUUGGGACAACAGUGGGAAACUGCUGCUAAUACCGGAUGUGCCUAAGGGUAAAAGAUUAAUUGCCCGAAGAUGAGCUCGCGUCCGAUUAGCUAGUUGGUGUGGUAAGAGCGCACCAAGGCGUCGAUCGGUAGCUGGUCUGAGAGGACGAUCAGCCACACUGGGACUGAGACACGGCCCAGACUCCUACGGGAGGCAGCAGUGGGGAAUAUUUGGCAAUGGGUGAAAACCUGACCAAGCGAUGCCGCGUGGAGGAUGAAGGUCUUAGGAUUGUAAUCUCCUUUUCCCAUAGAAGAAAUAAUGACUGUAUUUGGGGAAUAAGCAUUGGCUAAUUCUGUGCCAGCCGCCGCCGUAAAAC
rnacentral:rRNA from 1 species